UACGUAGGGGGCAAGCGUUGUCCGGAUUUACUGGGCGUAAAGAGCGCGCAGGCGGUCGUUCAAGUCGCGUGUGAAAGCCCCCGGCUCAACUGGGGAGGGUCACGCGAUACUGAUCGACUCGAAGGCAGGAGAGGGUAGUGGAAUUCCCGGUGUAGUGGUGAAAUGCGUAGAUAUCGGGAGGAACACCAGUGGCGAAAGCGGCUACCUGGCCCAUUCUUGACGCUGAGGCGCGAAAGCUAGGGGAGCAAACGGG
rnacentral:rRNA from 1 species